rnacentral:rRNA from 1 species
UACGGAGGGGGCUAGCGUUGUCCGGAAUUAUUGGGCGUAAAGCGCGCGCAGGCGGUCCUUUAAGUCUGAUGUGAAAGCCCACGGCUCAACCGUGGAGGGUCAUUGGAAACUGGGGGGCUUGAGUGCAGAAGAGGAAAGCGGAAUUCCACGUGUAGCGGUGAAAUGCGUAGAGAUGUGGAGGAACACCAGUGGCGAAGGCGGCUUUCUGGUCUGUAACUGACGCUGAGGCGCGAAAGCGUGGGGAGCAAACAGG